GACGAACGCUGGCGGCGUGCUUAACACAUGCAAGUCGAACGGAAAGGCCCUGCUUUUGUUGGGUGCUCGAGUGGCGAACGGGUGAGUAACACGUGAGUAACCUGCCCUGGACUUUGGGAUAACUUCAUGAAACUGGAGCUAAUACCGUAUAGGAUCUCCUGCUGCAUUGUGUGGGUUGGUAAGUGUCGGCGGUUGGGGAUGUACUCGCGGCUUACCAGCUUGUUGGUGGGGUAGGGGCUUACCAAGGCUUUGACGGGUAGCCGGCCUGAGAGGGUGACCGGCCACAUUGGGACUGAGAUACGGCCCAGAAUCCUACGGGAGGCAGCAGUGGGGAAUAGUGCACAAUGGGCGGAAGCCUGAUGCAGCAACGCCGCGUGCGGGAUGACGGCCUUCGGGUUGUAAACCGCUUUCGCCUGUGACGAAGCGUGAGUGACGGUAAUGGGUAAAGAAGCACCGGCUAACUACGUG
rnacentral:rRNA from 1 species